CCUACGGGAGGCAGCAGUGAGGAAUAUUGGUCAAUGGGCGCGAGCCUGAACCAGCCAAGCAGCGUGAAGGAUGACUGCCCUACGGGUUGUAAACUUCUUUUAUAAAGGAGUAAAGUGAGGAACGUGUGCCUUUUUGUAUGUACUUUACGAAUAAGGAUCGGAUAACUCCGUGCCAGCAGCCGCGGUAAUACGGAGGAUCCGAGCGUUAUCCGGAUUUGUUGGGUUUAAAGGGAGCGUAGAUGGGUUGUUAAGUCAGUUGUGAAAGUUUGCGGCUCAACCGUAAAAUUGCAAUUGAUACUGGCAGCCUGGAGUACAGUUGAGGUAGGCGGAAUUCGUGGUGUAGCGGUGAAAUGCUUAGAUAUCACGAAGAACACCGAUUGCGAAGGCAGCCUACUAAACUGCCACUGACAUUGAUGCUCGAAAGUGUGGGUAUCAAACAGGAUUAGAUACCCGAGUAGUC
rnacentral:rRNA from 1 species